CUAAAAGUCAAUCUCAAGCUUUAACAAAUGUUUAAUUAAUGAAUAGUUUCUAUUUAAUUAAUUACGUAAGAAUCAGAUUAAGUGGGGGCAUCCUUCGUCUACUCUCCCCCACAUUAACUUAUUUUUUAAGAAGUAAAUCCCCUCAUCUCUCAUUUGCCAUUGAUUCAGAUAUUUUUUCUCUCUCUUUUUCUGCUUCGCGUUCCUCAGCUUCUAGCUUCUUCAGGUUAAAUUAAGAUGGAAUAGCGAGAGCAUUUUAGAUCCAAAGCAAUUUAGCUUUUUAGCCUCGAGUUACCAUAAAAAAGUUCGCAGAUCAAUUUGUGGCAAAGUAAUUGGUAUUUGAAUCAGAAUCAUCUACCAUAAGGAGGAAAAUUACCCCAAUUUUGUAGCUCUUGUUGGUGUUUCGUAGUUUUGUUGCUGUGGCUGGCUUAGCUGGAGAUGGACAGCAACAUGUGGAUCCUCCUCAAUGCUUUGACCAUUGGUGACAAACAAUUCUUUGCUUGUUCCAUUCACAUCCCUUGUUCCAUAAACCUGGAUGGAAACUUUUCUGUUGAGAGUUCCACAUUUUCUUGAUGAAUGAGGUUCCCCUGCAAUGGGACAAUGCAAUUUAGACAAAUUUAGGCACUUUGAGUUGAUUCAGUAAUGAGACAAUGCAAUUUAGGUUUACCUGUCUGGUCAGUUCUUGAAUUUCAUCCAUUAAAAUUUGGUCCUACAGCAGUGGGGUAAAUGUUACCAACGUGGAGUUGCUUUAUUUUGUACGCUAUCCUGAACUUAAAAACUGAAAAUGAAAUGGAAAUAGAAAUCUCAAACCUUCUUCAUACGGACACCACGAAGGCUCAUUUCCAAUUGGCUCUCCAGAUUCUGUAAAUCUUUUAUGUUCAAUCCAGUAAGUUCUUCACCCAUCAUUUGCCUGUUUUGGUGUGCAGAAGCAUAUUUUCAGUCAAUAGGAUUUGUUUCUUACAUAAAAGCUUUUCAUAGGCAUACACAUGAGAUGCAUCCCAUUUCAAUUAUUGAGGUCACUUUUACUUUUGAUGCAUCCAAUGCUUUUAUGGACAGAUAUUAAAUCUGCCUUUUACAGACAUAAGUUUAUGUCUAGGACCAUCAGUGUCUGUGUGUUCGCCUUAAUUGAAGAAUGAAUGUUUCAUUCAAUCUGAUCUCUAAAUAUCUGAACCAUGAUAUAGAACAUCUUAAUUGCAUCUAAAAGGUUGGAAUAGAUAGUUACAACAGGUUCUAGGAGAAAAUUAAUUUGCUAUUCAUGUUACCGGCUUGAAAGAAAGAGGCUGUCUAUGUUGAAUCCAGACAUGGGUAUAUUUGAUGUUUUCUGAAAAUGCUUAAUGUAAAAGUGGUUUCUUGAUUCUGCUUUUUUGGCUCAUUUUACUUUCCUAUUGAUGUCUACUAUGAUGGAUUUAUAUGGUAAAAGAGUCAAAAUACCUGUGAUUUUCUUGCAGGUUUUGUAGUUGUUGUCUCAGAACUGCUGCCUCCCUUUUCCAGAACUGAGAAGUAAGAUUGAUACCAUGGAUCACUCUCGUGGAAGGAUGAAUGGGAUUAGUAAAUACGUGGCUGGUCUUUAUGUCUUCGAGUAUUCUGCCAAUGGUUUGUCGUUUGAUACCUACAUUGAUAGCGUCUUUUCUUGUCUAAAAUUGUUUGUUUCAUUUGUUUGUGAUU